CCUACGGGUGGCAGCAGUGAGGAAUAUUGGUCAAUGGCCGCAAGGCUGAACCAGCCAAGUCGCGUGAGGGAUGACGGUCCUAUGGAUUGUAAACCUCUUUUGUCAGGGAGCAAAGGGCGCCACGUGUGGCGUUUCGCGAGUACCUGAAGAAAAAGCAUCGGCUAACUCCGUUCCAUCAGCCGCGGUAAUACGGAGGAGGCGAGCGUUAUCCGGAUUUAUUUGGUUUAAAGGGUGCGCAGGCGGAAGGUCAAGUCAGCGGUAAAAUUACGGGGCUCAACCCCGUCGUGCCGUUGAAACUGCAUCCCUUGAGUGCGCGAGAAGUAUGCGGAAUGCGUGGUGUAGCGGUGAAAUGCAUAGAGAUCACGCAGAACUCCGAUUGCGAAGGCAGCAUACCGGCGCGCAACUGACGCUCAUGCACGAAAGCGUGGGUAUCGAACAGGAUUAGAUACCCCGGUAGUC
rnacentral:rRNA from 1 species